CUCAUGGAGAGUUCGAUCCUGGCUCAGGAUGAACGCCGGCGGCAUGCUUAACACAUGCAAGUUGAACGGGAAGUGGUGUUUCCAGUGGCGAACGGGUGAGUAACGCGUAAGAACCUGCCCUUGGGAGGGGAACAACAACUGGAAACGGUUGCUAAUACCCCAUAGGCUGAGGAGCAAAAGGAGAAAUCCGCCCAAGGAGAGGCUCGCGUCUGAUUAGCUAGUUGGUGAGGUAAUAGCUUACCAAGGCGAUGAUCAGUAGCUGGUCCGAGAGGAUGAUCAGCCACACUGGGACUGAGACACGGCCCAGACUCCUACGGGAGGCAGCAGUGGGGAAUUUUCCGCAAUGGGCGAAAGCCUGACGGAGCAAUGCCGCGUGGAGGUGGAAGGCCUACAGGUCGU
rnacentral:ncRNA from 1 species